rnacentral:lncRNA from 1 species
UUGGGCUUGGCUUCGCGGGCUUGGGCUUCUAAUGGGCUGGAAUGGGCCGAGCUGCUGCAGACUUGGGCUCAAUGGAGUUGCUGGAGAGAAGAUGGGCUGAUCCACGAAUGAGCUUGGCCGAAACUUGGGUUGUUGCUGGGAAAAGAUGAAGGACGCGCGGCUUCGAUUGAGGAGACUGGCGUGCAAAUGAGCUUCGCUGGGCUC